AUUGAACGCUGGCUGCAUGCCUUACACAUGCAAGUCGAACGGCAGCACGGACUUCGGUCUGGUGGCGAGUGGCGAACGGGUGAGUAGUGUAUCGGAACGUACCUUUCAGUGGGGGAUAACGUAGCGAAAGUUACGCUAAUACCGCAUAUUCUGUGAGCAGGAAAGCAGGGGAUCGCAAGACCUUGCGCUGAUUGAGCGGCCGAUAUCAGAUUAGCAGGUUGGUGAGGUAAAGGCUCCCCAAGGCGACGAUCUGUAGCGGGUCUGCGAGGAUGAUCCGCCACACUGGAGCGGAGGCGCGGUCCAGACUCCUACGGGAGGCAGCAGUGGGGAAUUUUGGACAAGGGGGGCAACCCUGAUCCAGCCAUGCCGCGUGAGUGAAGAAGGCCUUCGGGUUGUAAAGCUCUUUCGGCCGGGAAGAAAUCGCAUAGGUUAAUACCCUGUGUGGAUGACGGUACCGGAAUAAGAAGCACCGGCUAACUACGUGCCAGCCGCCGCAGUAAUAC
rnacentral:rRNA from 1 species